rnacentral:rRNA from 1 species
GAUGAACGCUGGCGGCGUGCCUAAUACAUGCAAGUCGAGCGAACAGACGAGGAGCUUGCUCCUCUGACGUUAGCGGCGGACGGGUGAGUAACACGUGGAUAACCUACCUAUAAGACUGGGAUAACUUCGGGAAACCGGAGCUAAUACCGGAUAAUAUAUUGAACCGCAUGGUUCAAUAGUGAACGACGGUUUUGCUGUCACUUAUAGAUGGAUCCGCGCCGCAUUAGCUAGUUGGUAAGGUAACGGCUUACCAAGGCGACGAUUCGUAGCCGACCUGAGAGGGUGAUCGGCCACACAUGGACUAGGACACUGUCCAGACUCCUACGGGAGGCAGCAGUAGGGAAUCUGCCGGAAUGGGCGAUAGCCUGACGGAGCAACGUCGCGUGAUUGAUGAAGGUCUUCGGAUCGAAAAACUCUGUUAUUAGGGAAGAACAAAUGUGUAAGUAACUAUGCACGUCUUGACGGUACCUAAUCAGAAAGCCACGGCUAACUACGUG